GUCUAAUCUGCUCAAUGAGGAUUUAAAUUGCCGCGGUAUUUUGACCGUGCAAAGGUAGCAUAAUAAUUAGUUUUUUUAUUGAAAGCUGGAAUGAAUGAUUGGACGAGAGAGUAGCUGUCUCAAAUGGAUUUAUUUUUGAAUUUAACUUUUGAGUAAAAAGGCUCAAAUUUAUUUUAAAGACGAGAAGACCCUAUAGAGUUUAAAUAUUUUGUUUACUAAAAGGUUUUUGGUCAUAGAAUUCUUUUAUUGAUAAAUUUAUUUGGUUGGGGUGACUUAAAGAUUAAAUUAACUCUUUAAAUUUUAAAAUCAUUGAUUUGUGAAUGUUGAAUCUAGUUUUUCUAAAUAUAAGCAUAAAUUACCUUAGGGAUAACAGCGUAAUUUUUCUUUAGAGUUCUAACUGUAAGAAAAGUUUGCGACCUCGAUGUUGGAUUAAAAUCAGUCUUUGGUGCAGAAGCUGAGGAAUUAGGUCUGUUCGACCUUU
rnacentral:rRNA from 1 species